rnacentral:rRNA from 1 species
GACGAAUAGGACAAGUGUUACUCUUCGUGAUUGGGCGUAAAGGGUGCGUAGACUGUCUAAUAAACUUUUUUUUAAAUUCCAUAUUUAAACUAUGGUUACAAUUAACCGAUUAUUAGACUGGAGUUUGUCAUAAGUUAGUGGAACUUACAAAGUAUAUUUAAUGUAUAUUGAAGAUUGAAGGGACCACCGAAAGUGUAGACAACUAACUAUGGGAAACUAACGUUGAGGCACGAAGGUGUGGGUAGCAAACAGG